AACGCUAGCUACAGGCUUAACACAUGCAAGUCGAGGGGCAGCAUUUUAGUUUGCUUGCAAACUAAAGAUGGCGACCGGCGCACGGGUGAGUAACACGUAUCCAACCUGCCGAUAACUCUGGGAUAGCCUUUCGAAAGAAAGAUUAAUACCGGAUGGCAUAGGAUUAUCGCAUGAUAAUCCUAUUAAAGAAUUUCGGUUAUCGAUGGGGAUGCGUUCCAUUAGGCAGUUGGUGAGGUAACGGCUCACCAAACCUUCGAUGGAUAGGGGUUCUGAGAGGAAGGUCCCCCACACUGGUACUGAGACACGGACCAGACUCCUACGGGAGGCAGCAGUGAGGAAUAUUGGUCAAUGGGCGAGAGCCUGAACCAGCCAAGUCGCGUGAGGGAAGACGGUCCUACGGAUUGUAAACCUCUUUUGUCGGGGAACAAAAGGCGCCACGCGUGGUGUAUAGAGUGUACCCGAAGAAAAAGCAUCGGCUAACUCCGUGCCAGCAGCCGCGGUAAUACGGAGGAUGCGAGCGUUAUCCGGAUUUAUUGGGUUUAAAGGGUGCGCAGGCGGCGGAUCAAGUCAGCGGUCAAACUUCGGGGCUCAACCCCGUUUUGCCGUUGAAACUGAUCGGCUGGAGUCUGUUCGAGGGACGCGGAAUGCGAGGUGUAGCGGUGAAAUGCAUAGAUAUCACGAAGAACUCCGAUUG
rnacentral:rRNA from 1 species